UAUAUAUAUAUAUAUAAAGGGGGGAAAGUUGCAGAAAGCAUGCAACUCAGGGAGCGAGAGAGUAGUUAAAAAAGAUGGAGCAUAGAUGUGUAGAGUGUGGAUUCCCGAUAGAAACUCUUUUCGUCCAAUACUCACCAGGCAACAUUCGACUCAUGAGAUGUGCGAAUUGCGAAGCAGUUGCAGACGAGUACAUCGAAUGUGAAUUCAUGAUUAUUUUGAUUGAUUUGAUUCUGCACAAGACAAAAGCGUAUAGACAUCUUCUCUUCAGUGUAAUCAAUCAGCGUAGGGUCAAUUUUGAGGUAUUUUCUUCUGCAGAUACUCGUGGAUGUCUUUGUUGGAAACUUUAUGUUUAUCUGUGUUUUUCUUCUUUCAAUGAGGCUGUUGCUAAACACAUCGAUUCAAAUCUCCAGGUGCAGAGACAUUUUGCUUGCAGUCCUAGUUUCAAGUCACUUCAAGAUUUUUCUUAUUGCCACAAUGGUUUGGGAAUUUCCGUUUUCUGUAAUUUUCAUCAUUGAUUUAUUUGUUUUAUCAUCCAACACAGUGGCAUUAAAAGUGAUCAGUGAGUCAGCUUUGAAUAGAUGCAUUGUGGCCUGCUUCUGUGCACAUGCUGCUAAGUUGCUUGUCACUCAGAUAUCCACUCAGAGAUCAUUGAGAUUUUAAAUCAUCGAGUAUUGUUCAUCUUCCUCGUAUUCAAGCACAUCAUGACACGCUAGCCAUUUUGGUUAAAAUGCCAAUUUUGGUUCACUGCUGAACAUGAGUUGUGCAAAUUUGAUAGCCAAAAUUGCAAAAAUCAACAUUCUGGAAAUGUGAUUGUGUCUUGGAGCCCCUUCAAAGCUGCUUGAGUCUUUUUAAAGCGGGCGCUCUUCUUAGUUAUUGGAGUGACGAAUCUGCUGAUAAAGCAUGCACGCACCGAAGUGUCCUGUGGGAGAAAGCAGUGAACGUUUAAUGAUUAAGAGCAUUGCAGUGAAAUAGCAGCCACAUCAAUGCAAGUGAUUCAAGGGAGUCAAUUUUGUUAAAGAGCUGAAUGGUUUAAAUUGCAAGCCACUAUAUAUGCUUGCUCCGUGCACCCCUUCCCAUGAAAGUUAGUCUUACCGCUCUACUGCAAGAUCGGUAGCAAUAUGACCACUCAUUCUAGUUGUAUGUUCUAUCUCUAUUUUUUCAGCUGGGGAGAAAUUUCAUUUGUAAGUUUUUCAUGUCUUUCUUUCGGUUCUUUGAAAUGAAUUCAAUUUGCUAUUCAAAUUAAGAUUUAAGAAAAAAAGGUAAUUGAGUUGGUUUCAGUUCCU